CCCUUAGAUGUCCUGGGCCGCACGCGCGCUACACUGACAUGUUCAACAAGCCUCCUAGUUCGACAGGAUUUGGGAAAUCUUUGAACGCAUGUCGUGAUAGGGAUAGAUCAUUGCAAUUAUUGAUCUUGAACGAGGAAUUCCUAGUAAACGCGAGUCACCAGCUCGCAUUGAUUACGUCCCUGCCCUUUGUACACACCGCCCGUCGCACCUACCGAUUGAAUGUUUCGGUGAAGAUUCCGGAUAGGACUUUUUUGAUUUAUUUCAAUUCUGUCUUAAAAGCUAUCUAAACCUCAACAUUUAGAGGAAGGUGAAGUCGUAACA
rnacentral:rRNA from 1 species